UAAUUGUAGCGUGAAUAAAUGAAAGGAAAAAAAGUGGAAAGACGCAACCUCGGGUGGUGUGGUGAAGUUGAAGGGUCCUUGUGUUAUGCGUUUGGUGGUGAAUGGGUUGAAGCAUUAACGAAAGGGCUUUCUUUUUGAAGAGGAACCAGAUUGGUCCCACUUUAACAUUGUCUCCUCAUUUCAAUCUCAAUAUAUCCCAUUAAUAAUAUCAUAUGCAAAUCUUUCUUUUCCCGCUGCUACUCCACAAAUCCAUCCUCGCCCACAGGUACACACGUACGGCCCAAUCGUCGUUUCCUUCUUACGUAUACUUUAUCCUAAUUUAUUAUUCUUUCAAGUUUGUGGAUAUAUUAUUUACUUUAA
rnacentral:lncRNA from 1 species